rnacentral:rRNA from 1 species
UACAGAGACUGCAAGCGUUAUUCGGAUUCACUGGGCGUAAAGGGAGCGUAGGCGGGUGUUUAAGUUAGGUGUUUAAUCCCAGGGCCCAACCCUGGUCGUGCACUUAAAACUGGACAUCUUGAAUAGGGGAGAGGUCAGUGGAAUUGGGGGUGUAGCGGUGGAAUGCGUAGAGAUCCCCAAGAACACCAGUUGCGAAGGCGGCUGACUGGACCCAUAUUGACGCUGAGGCUCGAAAGCAUGGGGAGCAAACAGG